GCCAGGGUGGCGAAACUGGUAGACGCGCCAGAUUUAGGAUCUGGUUCCCUUUGGGAGUGCAAGUUCGAUUCUUGUCCCUGGUA
rnacentral:tRNA from 2 species